UACAGAGGUCCCAAGCGUUGUUCGGAUUCACUGGGCGUAAAGGGUGCGUAGGCGGGUCUUUAAGUCAGGGGUGAAAUCCUGGAGCUCAACUCCAGAACUGCCUUUGAUACUGAGGAUCUUGAGUUCGGGAGAGGUGAGUGGAACUGCGAGUGUAGAGGUGAAAUUCGUAGAUAUUCGCAAGAACACCAGUGGCGAAGGCGGCUCACUGGACCACAACUGACGCUGAGGCGCGAAAGCUAGGGGAGCAAACAGG
rnacentral:rRNA from 1 species